AAAGCUUAGACCAAUUCCCUUGUCCUUCACUCCUUGCGAUAUGGGCUUGUAGAGAGAGAAUUUCAUUCACACAGAGAGAAGAGAGAGAGAGAGUGUGUGUUCUCAGCAAAGAGAAAUUAUGAUCUGUAUAUAUAUUUUGAAUGACAACCCCGCCAUCCCUCUUGUCUCUCACAAUUCAUUCCGCCAUCCAUAAUCUCUCUCGUAUUUCUGAUCUCUCUUUUCUCCCUGAUCACAUCGUUCUCGAUCUUUUCCUGGAAACUUUAAGGGCUGGAAAAUUAAACGAGAGGGUUUUAAAGUUGUUUGUGGCAAGUGGAAAAGAUGAAGUUCUUUCGCUCAUUGAGGCAUUCAAUAUCCAGCAAGUUGUCACCCCUGUUCUUCCUACCAGGUGUUCAGAAAAAUUCUAGGACUCAAUGAUAUGGUUUGAUUGCAUUUUAGAGCAUUAAACUUCAGCUGCUUCUUUUAAGGAGACCGAGACUUGCCAAUCCUUUUUUAUAUAUUUU
rnacentral:misc_RNA from 1 species